UACGGAGGGUGCGAGCGUUGUCCGGAAUCACUGGGCGUAAAGGGCGCGUAGGUGGCCUGUGGAAGUCUGCGGUGAAAGCCCGGCGCUCAACGCCGGGUCGGCCGUGGAUACUCUCGGGCUUGAGCUCACUAGAGGCAGAUGGAAUUCCGGGUGUAGCGGUGGAAUGCGUAGAGAUCCGGAAGAACACCGGUGGCGAAGGCGGGUCUCUGGGCAGUAACUGACGUUGAGGAGCGAAAGCGUGGGGAGCGAACAGG
rnacentral:rRNA from 1 species